UGCAGUCGAGCGGAUCUUCAUUAGCUUGCUUUUGAAGAUCAGCGGCGGACGGGUGAGUAACACGUGGGCAACCUGCCUGUAAGACUGGGAUAACUUCGGGAAACCGGAGCUAAUACCGGAUAAUCCUUUCCCUCUCAUGAGGGAAAGCUGAAAGACGGUUUCGGCUGUCACUUACAGAUGGGCCCGCGGCGCAUUAGCUAGUUGGUGAGGUAACGGCUCACCAAGGCGACGAUGCGUAGCCGACCUGAGAGGGUGAUCGGCCACACUGGGACUGAGACACGGCCCAGACUCCUACGGGAGGCAGCAGUAGGGAAUCUUCCGCAAUGGACGAAAGUCUGACGGAGCAACGCCGCGUGAGCGAUGAAGGCCUUCGGGUCGUAAAGCUCUGUUGUCAGGGAAGAACAAGUACCGGAGUAACUGCCGGUACCUUGACGGUACCUGACCAGAAAGCCACGGCUAACUACGUGCCAGCAGCCGCGGUAAUACGUAGGUGGCAAGCGUUGUCCGGAAUUAUUGGGCGUAAAGCGCGCGCAGGCGGUUCCUUAAGUCUGAUGUGAAAGCCCCCGGCUCAACCGGGGAGGGUCAUUGGAAACUGGGGAACUUGAGUGCAGAAGAGGAGAGCGGAAUUCCACGUGUAGCGGUGAAAUGCGUAGAGAUGUGGAGGAACACCAGUGGCGAAGGCGGCUCUCUGGUCUGUAACUGACGCUGAGGCGCGAAAGCGUGGGGAGCGAACAGGAUUAGAUACCCUGGUAGUCCACGCCGUAAACGAUGAGUGCUAAGUGUUAGAGGGUUUCCGCCCUUUAGUGCUGCAGCAAACGCAUUAAGCACUCCGCCUGGGGAGUACGGCCGCAAGGCUGAAACUCAAAGGAAUUGACGGGGGCCCGCACAAGCGGUGGAGCAUGUGGUUUAAUUCGAAGCAACGCGAAGAACCUUACCA
rnacentral:rRNA from 1 species